UACGGGGGGGGCAAGCGUUGUUCGGAAUUACUGGGCGUAAAGGGCUCGUAGGCGGCCAACUAAGUCAGACGUGAAAUCCCCAGGCUCAACCUGGGAACUGCGUCUGAUACUGGAUGGCUUGAAUCCGGGAGAGGGAUGCAGAAUUCCAGGUGUAGCGGUGAAAUGCGUAGAUAUCUGGAGGAAUACCGGUGGCGAAGGCGGCAUCCUGGACCGGCAUUGAGCGCAUGAGGAGGCGAAAAGCUGAUGG
rnacentral:rRNA from 1 species